UAGAAUCCAGGUGUAGCGGUGAAUGCGUAGGAGAUCUGGAGGAAUACCGGUGGCGAAGGCGGCCCCUGGACGAAGACUGACGCUCAGGUGCGAAGCGUGGGGAGCAAACAGGAUUAGAUACCUGGUAGUCCACGCGUAAACGAUGUCGACUUGGAGGUUGUGCCCUUGAGGCGUGGCUUCCGGAGCUAACGCGUUAAGUCGACCGCUGGGGAGUACGGCCGCAAGGUUAAAACUCAAAUGAAUUGACGGGGGCCCGCACAAGCGGUGGAGCAUGUGGUUUAAUUCGAUGCAACGCGAAGAACCUUACCUGGUCUUGACAUCCACGGAAGUUUUCAGAGAUGAGAAUGUGCCUUCGGGAACCGUGAGACAGGUGCUGCAUGGCUGUCGUCAGCUCGUGUUGUGAAAUGUUGGGUUAAGUCCCGCAACGAGCGCAACCCUUAUCCUUUGUUGCCAGCGGUCCGGCCGGGAACUCAAAGGAGACUGCCAGUGAUAAACUGGAGGAAGGUGGAGAUGACGUCAAGUCAUCAUGGCCCUUACGACCAGGGCUACACACGUGCUACAAUGGCGCAUACAAAGAGAAGCGACCUCGCGAGAGCAAGCGGACCUCAUAAAGUGCGUCGUAGUCCGGAUUGGAGUCUGCAACUCGACUCCAUGAAGUCGGAAUCGCUAGUAAUCGUGGAUCAGAAUGCCACGGUGAAUACGUUCCCGGGCCUUGUACACACCGCCCGUCACACCAUGGGAGUGGGUUGCAAAAGAAGUAGGUAGCUUAACCUUCGGGAGGGCGCUUACCACUUUGUGAUUCAUGACUGGGGUGAAGUCGUAACAAGGUAACCGUAGGGGAACCUGCGGCUGGAUCACCUCCUU
rnacentral:rRNA from 1 species